UUUGCAUAUUCAUAAGCGGAGGAAAAGAAACCAACUGGGAUUACCUUAGUAACGGCGAGUGAAGCGGUAAAAGCUCAAAUUUGAAAUCUGGUACUUUCAGUGCCCGAGUUGUAAUUUGUAGAAUUUGUCUUUGAUUAGGUCCUUGUCUAUGUUCCUUGGAACAGGACGUCAUAGAGGGUGAGAAUCCCGUUUGGCGAGGAUACCUUUUCUCUGUAAGACUUUUUCGAAGAGUCCAGUUGUUUGGGAAUGCAGCUCAAAGUGGGUGGUAAAUUCCAUCUAAAGCUAAAUAUUGGCGAGAGACCGAUAGCGAACAAGUACAGUGAUGGAAAGAUGAAAAGAACUUUGAAAAGAGAGUGAAAAAGUACGUGAAAUUGUUGAAAGGGAAGGGCAUUUGAUCAGACAUGGUGUUUUUUGCAUGCACUCGCCUCUCGUGGGCUUGGGCCUCUCAAAAAUUUCACUGGGCCAACAUCAAUUCUGGCAGUAGGAUAAAUCAUUAAGAAUGUAGCUACCUCGGUAGUGUUAUAGCUUAUUGGAAUACUGCUAGCUGGGAUUGAGGACUGCGCUCGGCAAGGAUGUGCA
rnacentral:rRNA from 1 species